CCCUUAGAUGUUCUGGGCUGCACGCGCGCUACACUGAUGCGCUCAACGAGUGUACAACCUUGCCCGAUAGGGUUGGGUAACCUUUUGAACACGCAUCGUGAUGGGGAUUGAGUAUUGCAAUUAUUACUCAUCAACGAGGAAUUCCUAGUAAUGAUGAAUCAUCAGUUCAUCGUGAUUACGUCCCUGCCCUUUGUACACACCGCCCGUCGCUCCUACCGAUUGAGCAAUCCGGUGAAUAUUUCGGACCUAGAAUUGUCGGGGCAACUCGUUCAGUUUUGGGAAAGUCAAGUUAACCUUAUUGCUUAGAGGAAGGAGAAGUCGUAACA
rnacentral:rRNA from 1 species